GCUACCCCCUGGGCAAAAUCUCCAUAUGCAAACAGUCCUUAUCCCCCGGCUGCUCAUCAGAGCACAUAUGCGUAUCUGUAAACAAAAAUUAUUGAAUCUUUUCAUGUGCCGUGUCACACACACCCAUUGUGGAUGAACCAAAAUGAAUAAAUCUCGAAAUUAGAAUGCAUAUUCCAUAUAAAGUAUGCCAUAUCGCUACAAUUGAGAAUUAUAUGGGCAAAUAACUUAAAUCGUAAAUCGGUUGUAAUCGACGAGGGAAAUAAAUUUCGUCUUUAUCAGAUGGCGAAUGGAAUGUGAUUUGAAUU
rnacentral:sRNA from 1 species